UUCCAGGGCUUCGUUUUUCAAAUCUCACGUGGGAGCUUUGUCAUUCCUAAUAAUUUCAGAGGAGCCUGUGGGGGCUGUUGCAGUGCAUAAGGAUGUAGUGACCUGUCUCUGCCCUUCGCUGUCCUCCCUCAAGUGAGGUCUGUGUGAGCAACCGUCUUUCCCUGCUGAAGCUGCAAGCCCAGCCCCAGAUAAAGACACUCCAGGCAUUUAAAUCCAGCCGCCUCCAGCAAAUCCAGUCCCUUUCCUGCCCCUGCUCUGCUUCCUCCCGCCUGUUUUGCCUCGUACGGAGGCGGCUCGGCGCUCCCGGCUUCCAGCUGGAGCCGUGCCAGACGUGCGCGAGGAGCUCGGCUCACAGCUGGGAAGGCUGGAAAGAACAGCAAGAAAUAGCCAGCGUUUCAUAAGAAGCCUCGCAAGAGCUGGCUGCGCAGCCCUGCUCUGCAAACCAAUGGAGUUCAGGUUCGACCCUAGGCCUAGCUCCCACAGUCGCUUCUGCCCGUGAGACGAAUAGCACCAUGCCUUCAGAACGGCUGCGUGGGAUGCAUGUGCGAGAGAUGCCAAGGAAGGCUAGUGUGGUGAUUGACAGCUGAUGCAGCUGUCAUAGCCAAUAACUCCUGAGGAAGGGAGUUGUGUUGCAUUUCCUUGAUGGGGAAGUGUGAAGGGUGCAGACUUCGUGGCUGGCUUUCGGCUCCCUCGCGGUAGUGUGUUUGGCCUCUGGAGAGCAGAGGUCUCCUGGCUAACGAGCUCUUCCUGGGAGACGGCGAGGAGACACACGAGCUCCGUGGAGCAGGCAGAGAGGAAUUGGGGGUGUUUUAUUUUUCCCAGCAGCUGCAGCUCGCUCAGAGAAGGCGCCAGGGCCCUGCAAGUUCGUGGGAAAGCGGCUUCGGUCUCCAGGCUGCACGAAGACGGCAGGCGAAUGCGGUUUCAGAAAUGGGACUCACUAGGGGAAAAAUAAAUACAAAGAGGCAACUGUUUAUGGUAGAUAAAGUGUGGAUUUUUCUCUUUCAUCCUUGACUAAA